GGGGGGAAAAGACUGGACGGGACCAGACAGGGCGGGAGCAGCCUCCGCCUCCGCCGCCCCGGGCUGGGAUCCCCCCCCCGCCGGCCCAGCCGGGCCCCGCUGGGGGGAUGAGUCCUGCCGCCUCGUACCCACCGUAGCGGUGCCGCCUCCGCCAUGAAGCGGAAGAGCUGGGCCGGGAGCCGGAGACACUCGGCCCCGGCGCCGCCGGUCGUGAAGAAAACUAGGAGCGCGGCUGCGGAGCGGGAGCAGGACGAGCCUCCCCCCACCGGCCCCGAGACCCGCCUGCGCCUCACAGAUCGCCUUUAUUUUGCAAUUCUCUGCCAAAAACCAAAGAGUGGUGCUGCAAACACACACCAUUUCUGCAUAGAUGACGAACUUGUAUACGAGAACUUUUAUGCAGAUUUUGGACCACUCAAUCUGGCUAUGAUUUACAGAUAUUGUUGCAAGCUAAAUAAGAAAUUAAAGUCGUUUACAUUGAUAAGGAAGAAAAUAAUUCAUUAUACUGGCUUUGAUCAGAAAAAGCAAGCAAAUGCUGCAUUCCUCAUAGGCUCUUACGCAAUAAUAUACUUGAGAGAAUCUCCAGAGAAUGUGUACAGGCUCUUAUUGUCUGGAACCAUCUCUUACCUUCCUUUCAGGGAUGCUUCAUUUGGUACUUGCAGUUUUCAUCUAACACUGCUUGAAUGCUUUCAUGCAAUAAAUAAGGCUUUGCUACAUGGCUUCCUGGAUUUCAAUGUGUUUGAUGUAGAUGAAUAUGAGCAUUAUGAGAAAGCAGAAAAUGGAGACUUUAACUGGAUAAUACCAAACAAAUUCAUUGCCUUUAGUGGACCUCAUUCAAGAAGUAAAAUUGAAAAUGGUUAUCCCCAUCAUGCCCCUGAGGCUUAUUUCCCAUACUUCAGAAGACAUAAGGUCACCACCAUAAUACGCCUCAACAAAAAAAUGUAUGAUGCCAAACGAUUUAUUGAUGCUGGUUUUGAGCAUUAUGACCUCUUCUUUGCUGAUGGAAGCACACCUAGUGAUACUAUUGUUAAAACAUUCCUAAAUAUUUGUGAAAAUGCUGAAGGAGUUAUAGCAGUACAUUGCAAAGCUGGUCUUGGCCGGACUGGCACACUUAUAGCCUGUUAUAUUAUGAAACAUUAUCGGAUGACAGCUGCUGAGACCAUUGCCUGGAUUAGAAUAAAUAGACCUGGCUCAGUGAUUGGACCACAACAGCAUUUCCUGGUAGAGAAACAAUCAGAACUUUGGACAGAAGGAGAUAUUUACCGUGCAAAGUUAAAGGGGAACAGUAAAAUUACUGUUACGAAAAUCCUCACAGGAGUAGAUGAUAUUUCAAUUAAUGAUGCAAAAAACCGGAGAACUAACAGAAAAGACACUGAACUGUACAGUGAUGAAGAUGAAACAAACUGUGUAACUCAAGGUGAUAAACUUCGUGCACUGAAAAGCAAAAGGCAAGGAAAAGCUACAAUCACAGUUCCACUAACAGUAAUUCUGCAGUCCAGUGUUCAGAAAACUAAAACCUCUGAACGUAAUAUUUCUGACAGUACAGACAUUACUAAAAGAACUACCAGGUCUGCUACAAGAAAAAGCAGUUUAAAAAGCAGUCAUUCCAUCCCAAGGACUAGGACAGUGUUGCGUUAAAUUAAAAAUAAGCAACUAGAGCUGAAGAGGACAUGGAGGAGGAAAAAAGGGAUAUCGCUAUGGGACUUGAUGCAGUUUAGGAAGAAGAUGCUUUGGCUUUGUUUUGCAGUAAAAAUUUAGCAGAAAGCUCCUUAUUUGUGGAAGAAACGGACUGGUAGAAAGCUGAGCUAUCUAAUCAAGCUUUUUAAUUCUAAACAUUUACUCAAAUGUUUUAAAAUAUAAUUGUAAAUUUAGACUCAGGUGUAAAUAUUUAAGUUCUCUAUUAUAAAGAGAGCCUGCUAGUCCAUAUGAUGCAUGUGUAUAAAUUGUGAUGGCAAUCACUUAGCUGCUGGCCACCAUAAAAAGUGAAGACAUGGUGAGGCUUUUAAAUAUUUAAUUCACUGUUGUCCAUCCAAGUCAGCCUAGAGUCUCCAGUUAGAGACUAAGCUUGGAAAGGUAGUCUUUUAUUCUCAUAACAAGGUACUCUCGUGUUGAUUGGCUCUCCUUUCUUAUUUUGUAUGGAUUUUUUGAUGAAGCUGCAAUUGUAAGUACACAGACUAAUUACUGUCCACCAAAGAGUGCUUUAUUUCCAAGGAUUUCUUUUUUAAAGAACCUAAUUAAAAGCUAAUGCUAUUUAAGCAGUUAAUAGCUUUUAAGUUGCUCAGAAUGCAGUGGCUCUUUUAACUGGUAGUAUUUGCUUGAAUCGGGUAUAUUUCCUACCAGAGUUUAAUAUAAAGAAGUACCAUCAAUGUUUAAAACCACACUGCGGCCUGAAUUAUUUUACCUACUAGUGCUGUAUAUAACACUUAAAAGAAUAACAUACCUGAAAGAUGAGAGAAUUUUUCUUACAUCUUUGCGUAUUCGACCAUACUUUCUGGUCAUUGUCACUAAUUCCCUGGUUUAGUCAUUUUCUUUCAUGCAAUAAUGGUGGGGGCUGGAGAGAGAGAGAAAGAGACUUAAAAUAGGAAUAUGUAUUUAUAAAGCCACUGAAAUGAGCAGUGGGACUCAGGGGCAGGUGUAAUUAGAAAUGUUAGUUUGAGGUUACAGUGUUUUUUAAAACAUCCACAUAUAUAUUUUUUAAAAGAAAUGCUAGAUAUUUAAUUAUCUAUUUAGUGCCAUGGUAACUUUUUUUAAAGGGAAUCUGUCUAGGGUUUGAAAUAUCAUUUCUUUCUUUUACAAUACUAUUUUUUUCCAAAACUUGAAGACUUUUUUUAUUUUCUUCACCACCUUUGUCCUGUUAGAUUUGACAGCUAUUUUUUUCCGCUGUAUCCUCGUCUGCCAGCUUCACAUUUGACACCCACACAACCCUCAGAAUAGAUCUGCCUGCUGCAUAGUCAGGAGUAAAAGAACACACUUGUUUAUUGUUUUUUUUGUAAGUGUGUUGUGGGGAGGUUUGAAUUAUUAGUCAGUGACAGACCUUUGUUUUAAUUGAAUGAAUAUGUAUUGAUUUUGAGAGGGACAGAAGGUUCCUUUUGUAUUGUAAGCAGGUGAAAUUCAAGUGCCUAGUUUUGAAUGAAUCUCCCUUUUUUAAUUUAAAAUAAAAAAGAUACCUAAUGGCAAUUUGAGGGUGUUACCUGCAUUCCAACAAACAACUGUAUGGCGGCUUGAAUAAAAUUGGGUGGGAAAGGCUACAGACUGUUAGCCCAGAAUACAGUAAUUUUUAGUUGCAAGAAAUACCUCCCAAGUACUUGACCUUUAAAUUUGUUCAUUUGAAUACAAAGCAAAUAAAAGAGCAAAAAAGUUUGAAAUGUAGAGAGUAAAAUAAUGAAGCUUGGAGGAAAAAAAAGGAGGGUGCUGGAGAAAACCCUUUAACUCUCUUUAAAUUAUCUGGCCUCCCUCCUGUGCUUUGUACAGCACUGUCCCCAGAGAAGUGGCAGUAUAUCCUAUUUUAUAUUAUAUUUCAAACUUAAUUGGCAAUGCGGGGCUGAGGCACACUUACUCCCUGGGAAAAUAGAGCCUUACUAACUUUUUGAGGGAAGGCAUGGGAAGAAAGAGAAUAAGUCCACUAGGGUUUUAAACCAAAGGGGUCUACUAGCAAAGAGAAAUGUUUGCUUUUAUUUUAGGAAUACUUAGUCAUUGUCCCCCAUUCAGGCGAUCGUGGGUGUCUAAACUGUGAUUUAGUAUGUAAGUGACUUGCAGAAAAAAUACAUAUACAUGCUCCUGAAUUGAAAGUGACGUCUUUGAGUUAUGCCCUGCAAUUUUUAAACGAAAGCACUUGUUGCGGGCCUCCUUCCAUGAGAGAAGGAAGAGCAGCUCCCCCAAACCUCUCUAUCUGACCUGCAGGUAGGCAUCAAUCACCCAAUAGCAGUUCAGUCAAAGAAGAGUCAUAGAAAAGUAGGGCUGGGAGGGAUCUCAGUAGAUCAUCCUGUCUAGCCACCUGCUCAAGGCAGGUCAUCCCUGUUGAAACUAUCCAGUGCAAGUGCUUUUCUUACUUAUUCCUAAAACUACACAAUUGACUACAAUGUAUGUUGCCCAAAGACACCCCAACCUGCCAAGUCAAGCAAAGGAACAAUGGGAGUCAGUGUCCCACAGCUGCAAGGGCUGUUAAAAUGCACUUGAGAGAUGAGGAAGAGGACCAUGUCCCCUGCUAGAAGGCAAAAAUCAUCAGUCUGUACCAGUCUGACCAUGGUGUAAAAUUCCUUCCUGCUCCCAAAUGUAAUAGAUCAGACUAUGACCUGGAAGGGCAAGACCCUUCACAGGAACCUUUGGCUUUAAGUCCCAGUUGGAGCAUUUAGCACACUCGAGUCAAAAUCCCAAGCCUUGACUAGCCAAUACCUAGUGUAAACACAGGAAACGCAGCUAAAAUGUGAUUCUCUGCCAUAUGCAACUACAGCCACUUGAGUGUUGCUUGUCAGCUAACAUAUUAGCAAGACGGGCAGUAGGUGCAGCCACAAAUGAGAACAUGUACUGAAAAGUAAAGGCCUUGCUUCAGUGACCUCACAAUUUAAAUUUGAGUGACUUUAAUAGGUGGAUGAAACAAAUCAAAAGUGUGAAAACAUGGGAGAAUGCGAUGGGACUAAAUUAGAAUUUGUAGGAUUUGGGAGUGAACUAUAAAGUCUUUGGCUUGCCACCUGCCUAGCCAUUUCUUUGCUUUUUAGGUAUUUUAAUCUUUUAUGUACACGUUUAUGGUCAUCGUCAUAAUGACCAUAGUUUUUUUUCUGCUUUGGGGUUAGGGAGUGAAGUAGAAAUGGUGUCUCCUUUUUAUACUUGUUGUUGGCAAAUACUGGAUACAGAACAAAAGAUCAAGCAAAUCACUUGGAUUACAUCCGAGCCCCAGGAUAAUGCUUUUUAAUAGGUGUAGGUUAGUUACAUGUUAGCAAAAAACAAGUUGUAUAUCUGUUUUACCUGCAAGUAGUCAAGCUUUUUUGUUCUGAAGAAUCCCACUAAAUAAAAUUUCAACAAAUUUUAUAAUUGGAUUUUUUUAAACAAAAUUGAGCGCUUUCAACAUUUUUUUUUUUUUUAAACAUCAAAAAUGUAUUUGACUGAAAAAUCGUCAGUCACAAAUGCUUGUUGCAUACAGUGAAAGUAAAUGAAGUUUUGCAUUUUUGUUAAUAUGUAUGUUUUAGGUUUCCAUCUUUUUCCAUCUCUCUACAUCUUACUGUUACGGAGAAACAUGAGAGUGCCACUGGCGCUUUGCAUUUGCACACUCAAACCAGCCUUAUUAUAUAAUGACUAUGUCAUAUCCCAUUUAUUUGUAAUAUUUAGUUUGUACUUGGUUUGAUAUUUGGCCUUACAUUUGCACCAUACAUGCCAAAGUUGUCUUAGCAUAUGACUCUAAAAGAUGGGGAUGGAUAAAGGAGUCUUUUGUUUCCAAAGGGCCAUUGACUUGUGAAAUAGUGUGCCAAAUGAAAUGUACAUAUAGAAUGGAUGCAUCGGAGAUUUUAAAAGAAGUAUAACUGCUAAGUAGGUUAUUCCUCCUAUUAUGGAGUUGUACUGAAUUAGUGUUCUCUUCUUGCUUUUCUUGUUUGUGGGUUUUUAAGGGGUUUUUAUUCCCCAAGAUUGAGAAAUCCAAGAAGAAUUAUACUAAAAGCAUAUAGUAAAUACUUUGUGUUUAUAGACCAAGUUGAUUUGUAUUACAGUAUCAGUGAUACAUACUGAAUUUGCUGUCAGAUCUUGACCUGAUGCCCUGACUAUAAUAUGGAAGUGCUGCUGUUUUUAAAGUGAGAUGAAAAAUAUAAAGCUCUGAUUUGUAUGAAGAGAUGGACAUUCUGAAUGGAAGAACGCUUGUCAAGAGUUACGUUCACCAAAUUGUUGUACUUCAAUUUUAUAUUAAUAGUUUUCAAGACUUCUUUGUUGGUCUUGUGUGUAAACUCAUGUACAGAAUACCAGGUUUUGAAAGUUACUGACUGAUCAAUACUGCUCAUCCUGAUUUUUUUUUUUUAAUUGUAUAUUUCUAUAAUCAUAUUUUUAAUGCUGACUGAGUGACAGAAUGGGAGUUUAUUUUGCUGAAGGUAUUUUUAAGAUAAAGCUUCAUAAUGUCUUGUAAACUUAGAUGGUUUGAUAUGCAUUUGUCUCAUUUGAAAACCUUGCAUAUUGUAUCUUAUUUUAUACUAAAUCUUGAAUAGUGAAAAUUGUAAACAUAAGUUGUAUACAAAUUAAAAUGAUUAACCAAG